AACGAACGCUGGCGGCAGGCUUAACACAUGCAAGUCGAACGCCCCGCAAGGGGAGUGGCAGACGGGUGAGUAACGCGUGGGAACGUGCCCUUCGCUUCGGAAUAGCCCCGGGAAACUGGGAGUAAUACCGGAUACGCCGUAUUGGGAAAGAUUUAUCGGCGAAGGAUCGGCCCGCGUUGGAUUAGCUAGUUGGAGGUGUAAUGGACCCCCAAGGCUACGAUCCAUAGCUGGUCUGAGAGGAUGAUCAGCCACACUGGGACUGAGACACGGCCCAGACUCCUACGGGAGGCAGCAGUGGGGAAUCUUGGACAAUGGGCGCAAGCCUGCUCCAGCCAUGCCGCGUGAGUGAAGAAGGCCUUAGGGUUGUAAAACUCUUUCGCCGGAGAGGAUAAUGACGGUAUCCGGAGAAGAAGCCCCGGCUAACUUCGUGCCAGCCGCCGCCGUAACAC
rnacentral:rRNA from 1 species